UACAGGGGGUGCAAACGUUGCUCGGAAUUAUUGGGCGUAAAGCGCGCGUAGGCGGCUACUUAUGUCGGAUGUGAAAGCCCUUGGCUCAACUGAGGAAGUGCACCCGAAACUGAGUAGCUGGAGUACGAAAGAGGGUCGCGGAAUUCCUGGUGUAGCGGUGAAAUGCGCAGAUAUCAGGAGGAACACCGGUGGCGAAGGCGGGUCUCUGGGCCGAUACUGACGCUGAGGAGCGAAAGCGUGGGGAGCAAACAGG
rnacentral:rRNA from 1 species